rnacentral:rRNA from 1 species
AUACGGAGGGUGCGAGCGUUAAUCGGAAUUACUGGGCGUAAAGCGUACGUAGGCGGUUGGUUAAGUUAGAUGUGAAAGCCCCGGGCUUAACCUGGGAACUGCAUUUAAAACUGGCGAACUAGAGUUGAGUAGAGGGGAGUGGAAUUUCAGGUGUAGCGGUGAAAUGCGUAGAGAUCUGAAGGAACACCAGUGGCGAAGGCGACUCCCUGGACUCGAACUGACGCUGAGGUACGAAAGCGUGGGUAGUAAACGGGAUUAGAUACCCUUGUAGUCC